rnacentral:tRNA from 1 species
AUCUAACUGACUCAGACGGUAAAGCAUCUGCCUGCAAUGCGGGAGACCCAGGUUCGAUUCCUGGGUCGGGAA